UACGGAGGAUGCGAGUGUUAUCCGGAAUCACUGGGCGUAAAGCGUCUGUAGGUGGUUUGCUAAGUCUGUUGUUAAAGCUUGAAGCUCAACUUCAAAAAUGCAACGGAAACUAGUAGACUUGAGUGUGGUAGGGGUAGAGGGAGUUUCCAGUGAAGUGGUGAAAUGCGUAGAUAUUGGAAAGACCGCCAAUGGCGAAGGCACUCUACUGGGCCAUAACUGACACUGAGAGACGAAAGCUAGGGGAGCAAAUGGG
rnacentral:rRNA from 1 species